UGGUAAUCAGCUGGGGUUUCCUUAGGGAGGUUGGAAGAUUCUAACUCAAAUAGCUCAAAGGACACCUUCUCCGGGAAACCUUCCCUGACUUCCGACGCUGUUUCCUGUUUAACUUCAGAAACUGGGGGUGUCUAAUGUCUGCAACAUAACAGGACUAUUGUAGGAAAUUCUGAGACUCUAUAAGCACUUUUAAAUGUGAAAAUUAAGAAGGCAUCCCAGAAAUGAAUGGGUCCAGUGCUCUGAUUUAAGAGUGUGUGACCUGUCGUCAUUCAUCCAGCAGACCCAAGCAGGCUUAGAGAAAGUAAGACGGACCCAUGAUGUACAUUAGAACACAGCAACUAUUUGAGUGAAAUAAGUAUUUUUAUUUAUUUCAAGAGGAAAGCAAAGUCGAAGGGUGUUCAGGGCUACAGUUUUGCUUGACCAGAUGUUGCCAAGUUUCAAAGUCAAAUCGGUUCAUCUCCUGGCUAUCAGCUAAAGGGUGUUGUAUUUGUAAGCAUUGAGAACUUCUAUCUACUGCUAUUGUAUUUUGCAUAUUUGUAUUUUCUGAGUUCUAUUUGAGAGAGACGGAAUUACGCAUUUCCAUAUGGAUCAUCCUCUUCCCUAUGUAUGUUGCUUUAUUGCCUUUUGGAAGAAAAAAAGUGAGAGUUGCAGUCUGUAUUUAGGCCAUUUCUAUGUUCUUUAUUGGGUUACGUUUGAAUGCCCAAUUUGAUCUCAAUGGCACGUCCUUUGUAACAUAAAAUAAAACAUGGUGCUCAGGAAAAGUAACGACACACACAUCCAGGCCCUUUCAUAGCAGUUGGUAAAGCUUAAGCCUUGCCUCUCUGUGUGGUAGUUUCCCUUCCCUUUCUUUUCGUUCCCUGUGACAAGCAGCCAUUGUCCCCUUGGUGAGAUCUGCAAUAUUACUUUGACCCCAGCCCAUCAAUCUGCCUCAAUUGGAUAAUGAUCUGUAAUCACGUUCUUUCAGGGGAGUCUAUAAAUUUGCCAAGGCCCCAUUCUCUUCUGAAGGACUCCUUAUGUUCACUCCCAUUUGUGCAAAUGUGCUCUCUUUUACAGGGCUAAAUAGCCAUGCACAUGGUCCAUUCUGUGAGGAGGCACCGGGCGGUUCUCUGUUGAUUUUCCACGCUCUAGUCUCUUAAAGGAGACUAAGGCUGACAUGCAGGGACACAGUGGGGGGGUGGCCCGAGCCAGGCCACAUCACAGGCAGCCGCUUUUCUCAUUAAGACUGACCCAUCAUUAGGUCACUUUGUGCCAUCCUUGUAAUCAAUGAGCUUAAUGUUUAGUGCAAAAAAAAAAAAA
rnacentral:lncRNA from 1 species